rnacentral:lncRNA from 1 species
AGGAGGCGAGAGCGCGCGCGCUGGGGAGGGUGGGAAAAACGGACCUGCGUGGGGCAGGGCCUACCGGAUGAUUGGCACCGAGUGCUGGGUUAGCCUCCCGACUCCUGCUAGGCUCCCUCGGUGCUGAGUGAACGAGCGCCACGUGGCUCUUGGCCACUUCUGGCUAGCCUGGUUGUCCCCAAGCUGCAAGGUGAUGAAUCCCAUGGAGUGACGACAUUCUAUUCCUCAAGAUCCGACCUUCUCACAUUCUGCCUCUCUUCCAUCAGACUGUUCAAACAAUGGACUGGAAGAAAUUGCAGUUUCCCCAGGACUCUCAUUCUGGAAGAAGAGAAAGAUUAAAGCCUGGACCAGCCAGAGAGGAAACUUAUCUCCUGGAACUUUUAAACCACUGUGCCAAAAACACUCCAGUCCUCCACUUACACUGUAACCUUGGGUCAGGACCCUGAAGAUGCACUUGGAAAGUUACUGGGCCUCUCUGUCUCUGUUCCUACUGUGCUCAUAUUAAAUUAAUUUCCCUCUUC